rnacentral:rRNA from 1 species
GAUGAACGCUGGCGGCGUGCCUAAUACAUGCAAGUCGAGCGAACGGACGAGAAGCUUGCUUCUCUGAUGUUAGCGGCGGACGGGUGAGUAACACGUGGAUAACCUACCUAUAAGACUGGGAUAACUUCGGGAAACCGGAGCUAAUACCGGAUAAUAUUUUGAACCGCAUGGUUCAAAAGUGAAAGACGGUCUUGCUGUCACUUAUAGAUGGAUCCGCGCUGCAUUAGCUAGUUGGUAAGGUAACGGCUUACCAAGGCAACGAUGCAUAGCCGACCUGAGAGGGUGAUCGGCCACACGGGAACUGAGACACGGUCCAGACUCCUACGGGAGGCAGCAGUAGGGAAUCUUCCGCAAUGGGCGAAAGCCUGACGGGGCAACGCCGCGUGAGUGAUGAAGGUCUUCGGAUCGUAAAACUCUGUUAUUAGGGAAGAACAUAUGUGUAAGUAACUGUGCACAUCUUGACGGUACCUAAUCAGAAAGCCACGGCUAACUACGUG